AAUCCCCUCCCCUUUCUCAAGUAACCGGAUCAUAAACUCUGCACACACUCAAGAAGAGAAGGUGACUCAGGGAGCAGACGUAAGGGAGUGGUAUCCUGGAAUUCUACCCACCACAACUUUCAUUCUCGAGGAACAGCAGGCCUGGGGAGAGAUGGUCACAGGUUAUGGAGCAAAGGGGAUGUAUUUCUCUUUCUCGGAAAAACCUCACUAUAUAAGCCUCUCAAGAGAUCCUGGAGUUCACCUCUUUGCGAAAUCAAAACAAACAACUACCCUAGCUGUCUGUUUGGAACUUGGAAAUGGCUGUAGUUCUUCAAGCCUGGACAGAGGAAAAGCUGAGGAGAGGGCACCUGAGUCCUCAAGGGUCUCACUGUCAUCAAGGCUGCUGUGCAGUGACACAAUCAAGGCUCACUGCAACCUCCACCUCCAGAGCUCAAGUGAUUCUCCUGCCUCAGCCUCCUUGGUAGCUGGGACCACAGGUGUCUGCUCACCAAGUUGGUUCGAAGCUGAGGAGGAAAAAAAUUAG
rnacentral:lncRNA from 13 species